UACAGACGGCGCAAGCGUUAUCCGGAAUGAUUGGGCGUAAAGCGUCCGCAGGUGGCUAUGUAAGUCUGCUGUUAAAGAGUGAGGCUCAACCUCAUAAGAGCAGUGGAAACUACAUGGCUAGAGUGCGUUCGGGGCAGAGGGAAUUCCUGGUGUAGCGGUGAAAUGCGUAGAGAUCAGGAAGAACACCGGUGGCGAAAGCGCUCUGCUAGGCCGCAACUGACACUCAUGGACGAAAGCUAGGGGAGCGAAUGGG
rnacentral:rRNA from 1 species